GGGGGGAGGCCGGAUCCUGGGCUGUGUCCCGGCGCCCUGUGCUCCCGGGGCCUGCGCUGUUGGAUUCGCGCUCCCGCCCUGCAGCCCCCU
rfam:Canis lupus familiaris chromosome 19, whole genome shotgun sequence.